GCGGAGGAAAAGAAACCAACAGGGAUUGCCCUAGUAACGGCGAGUGAAGCGGCAACAGCUCAAAUUUGAAAUCUGGCUCCCCUUGGGGGGGUCCGAGUUGUAAUUUGCAGAGGAUGCUUCGGGCAAAGCGCCUUCCGAGUCCCCUGGAAUGGGGCGCCAUAGAGGGUGAGAGCCCCGUACGGUUGGAUGCCAAGCCUGUGUGAAGCUCCUUCAACGAGUCGAGUAGUUUGGGAAUGCUGCUCAAAAUGGGAGGUAAAUGCCUUCUAAAGCUAAAUACUGGCCAGAGACCGAUAGCGCACAAGUAGAGUGAUCGAAAGAUGAAAAGCACUUUGGAAAGAGGGUUAAACAGCACGUGAAAUUGUUGAAAGGGAAGCGCCUGUGGCCAGACUCGGGCGCGGCGGAUCACCCGGCGUUCUCGCCGGUGCACUCCGCCGCAUCUGGGCCAGCAUCGGCUUUGGCGGGGGGAUAAAGGUGCGGGGGAUGUGGCUCCUUCGGGAGUGUUAUAACCCCGUCCGGCAUACCCCCGCAGGGGCCGAGAAACGCGCUC
rnacentral:rRNA from 1 species